CAGCGCCACAAGUGGCAAUCACGUUUAUUGGGCCUAAAGCGUCCGUAGCCGGUUUAGCAAAUCUUUUGUGAAAUCGUCAGGCUUAACUUGACGAAUUGUAGAAGACACUACUAAACUAGGGACUGGGAGGAGUCAGAAGUAUUCUGGGGGGACCGGUAAAAUGGUAUAAUCCCCAGAGGACUACCGAUGGCGAAGGCAUCUGACCAGAACAGAUCCGACGGUGAGGGACGAAAGCCAGGGGAGCAAACCGGAUUAGAUACCCGAGUAGUCC
rnacentral:rRNA from 1 species